UCCCAGUUUUUUAUUCACUCCAGUGAUUUUAUUCACUAAUAAAAUCCCCACGUAAACAUAUUAUUUGUGUUCCUAUAUAAACUCUUCCAUGGAGUGUUUUUUGAACACUGAAGCACAGCGCGAGUAUACUGAGCACAAGCAAAGCCUUAAAAACCAUAUGAGAUUGUGAAACAUUCAUACAUAAAUAUUAAAUUGCUACCUACAGACACUGCUAAGUAUAUAAUUUGUAAUGCUUUGUUUUCUUUUGUCUCUACCAGGUUUGCACAUCUUAAAUUUUGGUCCAUUCUUCUCUACAAAACUAGAUUUUGUUUUGAUCAGAUCAACUCAAUUUUAUUAGUUUAGACCAUUUAAGCUAUGAGGCAAUUCAACGUGGUUUACAGUGGAUUAAAAACACAGUGCCGUACACAAACAUAAAACCUUACAGUAGAGUAGCAAAAUAAAGAUAACUAUAUUCAUCAAAGGUAAAACUCUGCCCCAGUCUCAAGUCCUUUGCACCUACUAGCAGGUUCCUAGAAGUUACUCCCCUGUAUUCAACUCCAUCUAGCAACACUGCUUAAGAUAAAUUCUGCACACAGGACAAAAAGUUACUUUUGACUAUUGCACUUUCUUCCCUCCAUGUGUUUGCUUAUGGCAAAAAUGGCACUUUUUAAUGUGUUGUUUAAUUCUCCCAUCUGAGCUGUCGAUAUCUGCAGCUAAAGGGGCGGGGACGGACCUUUCCGUCAGUCCCAUACCUUAUUUGGAAAUGGGACUAUUGCAUUCCGGAAAUGAAGGGGGCGCUAUUUUCAUAAUCACUAGUAUAAAUACCUUAAGACGCGGAGUUAAGAGGAACGGAAGAAGAAAGAAAGACGUUUGAGAGGUUCUUCCACUGGUGUUCGGCGCACGAUCAACAAUGCAAAACUCACAAAGUCAACAAAAGAUCCACGUAUCUAUUUGCAACAUGAACAUAUUUAUUGCUGUUCCCUUUGCUCAUACAAGCUACAGAACCAUUUAGCACAAACUGCUAUGGUUCAACAUAACGGUAUGUAUAAACUACACUUGAAAAAUAUAAAAUAUUUUUUACAUACCAGUUUUCUAGUGUUUCUCUUUUAUUUUUAAAGGUUAAUCUUUUUUUAAAUAUGUUUUGUACACCAAUGUUAAAUUUCUGGAAAGUCUAAUAUAUUUUAUAAACUAACAGCUGCCAUUAUAGUUGGGUGUUGUACCCAGAUGUGAUACUCUAAUGACGAGUAGCACAACUUCAAUAUAGUUUUAGUAAGUAACUGCAAUAAACUACACUAGUAAGAGUAACAAAGUAUUUGGUGAAAUGGCUAUUAUUAACUACUGUUUUACUGAUCAUAAUGUGCAAUGUGAUUUUUUAUUUUGUUUGGUUUUUUGUUUUUGAAGCUGUUCUCCAGGAGGUGAUACCAGCACAGGGAGACUCAGCUUACCUCACCUUGGCAUUGACCUGCAAGUGCUUUGAAGCCGUUGUGUCUGAGCCAGUCUUCAAGAAGAAGACUCACUUUGCUUGGCUGGAUGGUGAGAUCAACUGGGGCAAAUUUUCAAAAACAUUCAAGGCAGAAAACCGGAUUCCUUUUGCGGUUGUAACGUGUUUUUCCUGCAACCGGUAAUAUAAAGACUGUGGGCUUCACCGGCAAUGGAAGACGAGGAGAGGUUACUACUGUGAUGUCCGACCUGGACACUGCACUGACUGUCAAUACUGAAUGCAAGGAGAAUAUUAGUUGCUUUCCACUGUCUUUCACACAUUUCAGUUAUCACACAUUGUUAGUUUAUUUUGUGACAUGCCAUUUUAAAUCAUUUCUGCUAAAUAAUAUUUGCCUUUUGACUUGUGCAGUCAUCCUUUUUAAUAAUGUGUUCUUUCAAUAUUAUAUUCAUUUUUGAAUGUUCCUUUUGUUGUAGCUCAGUUGAUUUGCAUUAUUUAGUUUUCAUAGAAAUGGUGCCGUUUCCACACAAAGUUACAUUGUGGCUGUAAUUUGUUGGAGAGAGUAGAACCAAUAAAGUAGUUGUAAAUAUAUUGUAA